CAAUUCAGACAUGCAUCCUCUCCUCGUGUCCCCCUGCUUGUAUCUGCCUCCCGCGCUCUCCCUCGCUGCCCAGAGCCUCGCAAAGUUUCUGAUAUUCCGAGCACAUACCCGCCGCUUCAGCUCCACCAGACUCCAACUGGGGUUUCCUGUUAAUGACCCGUCCCCUCCCGCCCUUGGGUUUUACAUGACAAAUGCCACCUGUCCUGCAAUCCUGUCCAGAGCUCUCUGCCACUGAGGAGUGUGUUAUCUCCAUCUUGGUCUUUCUCCACCAUUUUGAGCCCUUAUAAAGCCUGCAGCACUCUCUUAGCAACGCUUUGGCUUUCUAUAUUUGUUGUUACAACCACCCUUACUCACUCACUCAAUUUUUGAUGGCCCCUGGCCUAUACAAAUGUGUAUGAGUGGAUUAUGUUUGUGUAGAACAUCAUACAUUGUUUGCUACAUGGGGGUUUUUUUAGGGCAACUUUUAUUGAUACAUUAAAACUAUGUAUAUUUUAUGCUCUAUGUAAACUGAAUGUUUUGACAAGUAAGCUGUGUGUGUGUGUGUGUGUGUGUGUGUGUGUGUGUGUGUGUGUGUAAUAAUGACAUAUGAGGUCCUAAUCUUAUAGUACAAUUAUUAGAGAAUGUGAUGUUUGUAUAGACUAACCUACAUAUUUAAAUAAAGAAAUUCCUUCCAGUAGCACAUUAGAGACCAACUAAGUUUGUUAUUGGUAUGAGCUUUCGUGUGCAUGCACACUUCUUCAGAUACCGUGCAUGCACAUGAAAGCUCAUACCAAUAACAAACUUAGUUGGUGUCUAAGGUGCUACUGGAAGGAUUUUUUUUAUUUUGUUUUGACUACGGCAGACCAACACUGCUACCUACCAGUAACUACAUAUUUAAAAACACCCUAAAAAUUGUCCAUGUCUAAUUUACAACCUCAGGGGCCACAGGAGAUCCAUCACCAAUCCUUAUUUUGCUGAAAUAAUACACUGUUAUACAGUAAGAAGAUUGCAAUUAAAUUUAUCUCAGCCAAGGACAGGGUGAAAUGAAUUGAACUCUGCUUUCUCAUUUUUCUGUUAUGCUCUGUACUACAUAAAAAACAAAGCUGUAAUAUCUUAGAUACUAUACUCUGCUCUUGCCUCUAACAUGGCAUUCAUGCAAAUAUCAGGCAUACUAUCUCAUUUACUAAUAAGAUUCAUUUGAUUUAAAUGAUGUUACAGAAACAAAUUGUAUUUUGAAGGAAGGUUCUAAAAGAUCAUUAUAAUACAUGGUAUAUAUUGGCAGGCAGAAUCUAGCUUUAAGAAACUUGGGUAGAAUAUAAAAGUUAUUGUCUGUCUGAAUACUGGAAUGAGCAAAGUGGACUAGUUUGAAUUAGAUGUAAAAGUGUGAGGCUAUAAUGCUAUACAUAAUUAAAUGGCAGGAAGCCUCAUUAAACUCAGUGAGAGUUACUUCUGAGUAUAGGACUGCACUGUGAGUCAUCUAAUUAUCUCAUAACCUCUUGAUGAGAGAUGUGAAAGAUGUAGCCAUCUAAACAUUGCUGGACUACAACUCUCACCAUUCCUGAUCACUGCCAAACCUGGCUGGGGCUGAUGGGUGUUGGUAUUCAGUAACACCUGGAGGACCACAUGUCAAACCCCCCCCCCCCCCGUUCUUCAUCAUGCAGCCCUGUCACCCCCUUCUUGCUGGCAUUCUGCGAGCCAUUUCCGAAGAGUAUAAUCACACGCGUAUAGUUGUAUUGAGAUAUUCACCAGUCUGGUUCAAUAAGCAGAAAAGCAUCCAAACAGCAGCUGGAGUCUAAUACAUGAUGCAAAUAUACAAUGAAACAAAAUUGGCAGAAGCAUGUUCUCCAGAGUGCUUAAACAUAGCAUUUAAGGAGGUGCGUAUCUGCAACCAUUCACCCUAGAAAUCAUUUUAAAAAUCAGAUAGGAUUUAAGAAGCAUAAAUAGAACUGCAGACCAUACAGAGUUGCUGUGGAGGCUUAAUUGAGCCUGCAAGCUAUUUAUUACCAACCUGUGUCCUAACAGCUACUUUCUGUUGGAUUCUAUCUGUCGGAUGUCUUUUGUCAGUGAAGUGAGACUAUUUUCUAGUUCACUGUACUAACUGUGGAUUCCAGAUUUCUUUGCUAUAUAUUUUUAUAUGAAUUACACAGUCCUCCUGUUAUCAGUUUGCCCUUCAGUUCCUCUUCAUCAGUCCCUCGAAACCAGCAUCGGAGUCUUGCUGCUUUCAGGAAUUUCAUCUGGUAUACUGUCUUUAAUGUCUGCAGUAAUAGCAGAUCAA